rnacentral:rRNA from 1 species
ACACAUGCAAGUCGACGGCAGCACGGACUUCGGUCUGUGCGAGUGGCGAACGGGUNAGUAAUAUAUCGGAACGUAUCCAAUAAUGGGGGAUAACUAAUCGAAAGGUUGGCUAAUACCGCAUGAGAUCUACGGAUGAAAGCAGGGGACCGCAAGUCCUUGCGCGAAUGGAGCGGCCGAUGGCAGAUUAGGUAGUUGGUGAGGUAAAGGCUCACCAAGCCUGCGAUCUGUAGCUGGUCUGAGAGGACGACCAGCCACACUGGGACUGAGACACGGCUCAGACUCCUACGGGAGGCAGCAGUGGGGAAUUUUGGACAAUGGGCGCAAGCCUGAUCCAGCCAUGCCGCGUGCAGGAUGAAGGCCUUCGGGUUGUAAACUGCUUUUGUACGGAACGAAAAGGCUUUCUCUAAUAAAGAGGGCUCAUGACGGUACCGUAAGAAUAAGCACCGGCUAACUACGUGCCAGCAGCCGCGGUAAUACGAAGGGUGCAAGCGUUAAUCGGAAUUACUGGGCGUAAAGCGUGCGCAGGCGGUGAUGUAAGACAGUUGUGAAAUCCCCGGGCUCAACCUGGGAACUGCAUCUGUGACUGCAUCGCUGGAGUGCGGCAGAGGGGGAUGGAAUUCCGCGCUAGCAGUGAAAUGCGUAGAUAUGCGGAGGAACACCGAUGGCGAAGGCAAUCCCCUGGGCCUGCACUGACGCUCAUGCACGAAAGCGUGGGGAGCAAACAGGAUUAGAUACCCUGGUAGUCCACGCCCUAAACGAUGUCAACUGGUUGUUGGGUCUUCACUGACUCAGUAACGAAGCUAACGCGUGAAGUUGACCGCCUGGGGAGUACGGCCGCAAGGUUGAA